rnacentral:rRNA from 1 species
UACGUAGGGUGCAAGCGUUGUCCGGAAUUAUUGGGCGUAAAGAGCUCGUAGGCGGUUCGUCGCGUCGGCUGUGAAAACCCGGAGCUCAACUCCGGGCCUGCAGUCGAUACGGGCGGACUUGAGUGUUGCAGGGGAGACUGGAAUUCCUGGUGUAGCGGUGAAAUGCGCAGAUAUCAGGAGGAACACCGGUGGCGAAGGCGGGUCUCUGGGCAACUACUGACGCUGAGGGGCGAAAGCGUGGGGAGCGAACAGG